AGUCUGUGAUGUUGGCAUUUUCUUAACAUUCUCUUAAAACGCUCCCAUGCCUCAUAUAGAUAUUAACCUUCAAAUUGUUUAAAAUUUGCGAUUUCUUACCUAAAUU
rfam:Gossypium arboreum cultivar AKA8401 contig_23327_3, whole genome shotgun sequence.